rnacentral:rRNA from 1 species
CUCCUACGGGGGCAGGCAGUGGGGAAUAUUGGACAAUGGGGGCAACCCGUGAUCCAGCAAUGCCGCGUGAGUGAUGAAGGCCUUCGGGUUGUAAAGCUCUUUCGGCGGGGAAGAUGAUGACGGUACCCGCAGAAGAAGCCCGGCUAACUUCGUGCCAGCAGCCGCGGUAAUUC